AAUGAACGCUGGCGGCAGGCCUAACACAUGCAAGUCGUACGAGAAAGUUCAGCUUCGGCCGAACGAGUAAAGUGGCGCACGGGUGAGUAACGCGUGGGUAAUCUACCCUCGGGCUGGGGAUAACAUUCCGAAAGGGAUGCUAAUACCGAAUAACACUUACUUUCUGCGGUUAAGUAAGUCAAAGGUGGCCUCUACAUGUAAGCUACCACCUGAGGAUGAGCUCGCGUCCCAUUAGCUUGUUGGUGAGGUAACGGCUCACCAAGGCCGCGAUGGGUAGCUGGUCUGAGAGGAUGAUCAGCCACACUGGGACUGGAACACGGCCCAGACUCCUACGGGAGGCAGCAGUGAGGAAUCUUGCGCAAUGGGGGAACCCUGACGCAGCCAUGCCGCGUGAGUGAAGAAGGUUUUUUCGGAUCGUAAAAGCUCUGUCAGAAGGGAAGAACCCGGUUAAGACUAAUAAUCUUAUCCGCUGACGGUACCUUC
rnacentral:rRNA from 1 species